rnacentral:rRNA from 1 species
CGGCGGACGGGUGAGUAACACGUGGAUAACCUACCUAUAAGACUGGGAUAACUUCGGGAAACCGGAGCUAAUACCGAUAAUAUAUUGAACCGCAUGGUUCAAUAGUGAAAGACGGUUUUGCUGUCACUUAUAGAUGGAUCCGCGCCGCAUUAGCUAGUUGGUAAGGUAACGGCUUACCAAGGCAACGAUGCGUAGCCGACCUGAGAGGGUGAUCGGCCACACUGGAACUGAGACACGGUCCAGACUCCACGGGAGGCAGCAGAA